AUGACCUCGGAUCAGGUAGGGAUACCCGCUGAACUUAAGCAUAUCAAUAAGCGGAGGAAAAGAAACCAACAGGGAUUACCUCAGUACCGGCCGAGUGAAACCUGGGG
rnacentral:rRNA from 1 species